UUGAGGUGAUGAAGUGAUUUUCUAUCAUUUUAGGUUGUUUUUGGUGCAUUAUUUGCAAGAAUGGAGAAUUGUGGAUUCAUCACGACUUGGGAUUUUGUGGGUACAUCUUCUACAAACCCUCACGAGAACACACUCGUCCACUAGAGCUAUCUAGGGGUUUAAAGGGCUUGUUGCAUGUGCUAAAUGCAACCGUGAUCACCUACGGAAGUGGUACUAGAGCGAGGAAGGACAUGCACGCGAGAACGAGCUGAAAAACGAAGAAUAGGGCUGCCAGUGGCAGACAGUAGCGCGCCCGCGCUAACCUCUAGCGCGCCCGCGCUACCUACUGCUGCCACUAGCGCGCCUGCGCUAGUUUAGCGCGGCCGCGCCCUCUAGAAGUGUUCCGGGCCGAUUUUUACAGCUUUUCUGAUGGAUUUUCGCAGCGGACGAGGCCCAGUUGACUUAGUCAAAGCAUUUUAAUUUCUCAAGUGUAAAAACCCUAGCCUCGAAGUAGUUAGAAAUCGGAACAAUUUCAUAGUUAGUUUUCUUUUGUAAUCAAGCACAUUAUCGGUUUUGUAUUGGAUCGUUCUUCGCGAGGAAGUGACAGUUUCGAGCGAGAUCGUGAACAUCAAUUCUGUAACGUUGUGAUCUUUAUUAUUAAUUCAAGCAUUUUUAUUUCGUU
rnacentral:lncRNA from 1 species